rnacentral:miRNA from 1 species
GCCAGGGAAGGGUCGAGUGC